GCAAGUCGAGCGGAAACGAAGAGGUGCUUGCACCUCUGGCGUCGAGCGGCGGACGGGUGAGUAAUGCUUGGGAAUAUGCCUUAUGGUGGGGGACAACAGUUGGAAACGACUGCUAAUACCGCAUGAUGUCUACGGACCAAAGUGGGGGACCUUCGGGCCUCACGCCAUAAGAUUAGCCCAAGUGGGAUUAGCUAGUUGGUGAGGUAAUGGCUCACCAAGGCGACGAUCCCUAGCUGGUUUGAGAGGAUGAUCAGCCACACUGGGACUGAGACACGGCCCAGACUCCUACGGGAGGCAGCCGUGGGGAAUAUUGCACAAUGGGCGCAAGCCUGAUGCAGCCAUGCCGCGUGUGUGAAGAAGGCCUUCGGGUUGUAAAGCACCUUCAGUAAGGAGGAAAGGUUAAGUGUUAAUAGCACUUAGCUGUGACGUUACUUACAGAAGAAGCACCGGCUAACUCCGUGCCAGCAGCCGCGGUAAUACGGAGGGUGCGAGCGUCAAUCGGAAUUACUGCGCGUAAAGCGUACGCAGGCGGUUUGUUAAGCGAGAUGUGAAAGCCCCGGGCUC
rnacentral:rRNA from 1 species